GAAGCUGUGGCGGGGCGGGGUGGCGGCUGAGGCGGCCGGCGGCGGGGCCGGGGUCUCCGUGGGGGUCCGUGGGUGGGUGGGCGGGCGAGCGCGGCGCGGUCCCAUGGCGGCCGAGGGGAAGGUGACGGGGCAGAGCCAGGAGCAGUUCCUGCUGCUGGCCAAGGCGGCCCGCGGCGCCGCCCUCGCCAGCCUCAUCCACCAAGUGCUGGAGGCCCCGGGCAUCUACGUCUUCGGGGAGCUGCUGGACAUGCCCGCCGUCCGGGAGCUGGCCGACGGCGAAUUUUCCCCCGUCUUUCGGCUCCUGACCAUCUUCGCCUACGGUACCUACGCGGACUACUUGGCUGAAGCAGCAAACCUCCCUCCCUUGACAGAGGCUCAGAAGAACAAGCUGAGGCACCUGUCAGUCGUCACUCUGGCUGCCAAGAUCAAGUGCAUCCCCUACUCAGUGCUGCUGGAGCAGUUACAGCUGAAGAACGUCCGGCAACUGGAGGACCUCGUGAUUGAGGCUGUGUAUGCAGAUGUGCUGCGAGGGAGCUUGGAUCAGCGGAACCAGCGCCUGGAGGUGGAUUACAGCAUUGGGAGGGACAUCCGGAGGGAGGAGCUAAGCACCAUCACCCGCACAUUGCAGGAGUGGUGCCAGGGCUGCGAGGUUGUCUUGUCGGGCAUUGAAGAACAGGUUAGCAGAGCCAACCAACAUAAAGAGCAACAGCUGGCACUUAAGCAGCAGAUAGAGAGCGAGGUGGCAAACCUGAAGAAGACCAUUAAAGUGACAACAGCAGCCGCUGCAGCAGCCACAUCCCAAGACCCGGAACAGCACCUAACAGAGCUCAGGGAGCCGGCCCCUGGCACCAACCAGCGCCAGGCGAGCAAGAAAACUUCCAAAGCCAAAGGGCUCCGGGGCAGUGCGAAGAUUUGGUCUAAAUCAAACUAGUUGGAUCUCCCUUCACAACUGGGAGGGUAGUCUCAGAGGAAGGUGCAGAGACUGAGGAAAAAGUUCACAUUUGUGUCAAUACUACGUGCCCGUGAUCCUGGACAAAACGGAAAGUGAUGUGGGGACUUGUCUGACAGUUAAAGAAAAGACUGAGAAAACAGACCCUGAGUAGAGCAGAACAGAAAUACCUGGACACACAACACCCUAAGCCUUGACAAAGGAAUGAGGUUUAGGGGAUUGUAGAAGAGAGGGUAUGGAGAAGUGUUCGUCCCGUCUUGAGGAGCAGGAGAUCUGCCAGCCCUAGCAUGGGAAAUGUAAUGACUCUUGCACAGUGAUUCAUUGCAAUCCCUCUUUGGGUCUCACAUGUGGGGCUUGGACAUCUGGAUUCAGGAAAGGGAGGAGGAAGGACAGGACCUGAAUGGCUCUGUCGCUGAUGUCUGACUUUUGCCAGCCGCCCUGUGCUGAGACGUAACCAUGGAUUCUUAUUGGGAAUUGGGGUUAAUGAUGGUAAUUCUUCUUAUUGCAUUACUAGGAGCACGAUUUCUUGUGGGGAGCUUACUGCUCCCCUUCUUGAAGGUGGUGGGGGCGUCAGACAGCAUGGUGCCAGCAGCCCAGUGUCUGUGGUGGUGCCUGUCGGUACCUGGUGAGUGGGGAGAAGCGUAACAGCCAGGCAAGCGCCCUGCAGGACUUGUCCGAGGUUCUCCCCAUCCUCCAGUGGUUUGUGCUGGAGGACCUGUGAAGGUAGAGGUGGUCUUUCUGCUUAGGGCCCUCAGCAGGGCUCCCCUCAAAGGGAGCCAACAUUUUGUUUAUGGGGGUUGCUGAGGCCACCCUUGCCUCUGUCCCCCCAAAUGAGGCAUAUAAGGGCUUGGUUUUUGUUUGUUUGGGGGUUUUUUUGACAAACAGGAGGGCUGGUGCGUAUGAGAGUAUCUGUGCGUGGGGCCGUGUGCUUCCCCGAGCUUCAUGUGGGGGUGCCUCGCCUCUGCUCGAUGGGGCAUUCGCUCGCCUCCCCUCCCCUCCCCUCCGAAGGCUUUUUUGUGGAAGGUGGGUGCCUGACAGCCUGGUCUGUUGGGUGAACUGACCCAGAUGGAUGGGUGUCCCGGUCUGCUUCCCGCAGGGCCGUACCUUCUUGCACAGGCUCUCUGCCGACAGCAGCCACGGAGGGUUGUGCCUGCCUCUUGCCACGGCUGGACCAGCCCCCCCGGGAUGAGGGCCUGGCUCUGCAGAGGAAGGUAGAGUAGUUGGAAGAAUCCCACAGUCCAUGUCAGCAGCUGCAAGCGCAUCUCUCAGAUCUCUGACAUCCUUCUUGUCUCCUUUAUAUGCCCUAGAAUAGCUGCUCAUUUUCCUUCUGUGACCCCUUUCCCUCUCUGCCAUCCUCUCCAUGGGCGUCUGUCUGUGUUCCCACCUGCAGGGCUCUUCUUUCCUCAUCCCAUUCCCUAGUACUAGUCACUGCUUAGCUGCAAUACUCGGAAAAAACCACCUGCUUUCUCUACCAGUUCCUCAGCCACCCACCUCUUGGGUGUUUCUUUUCAGGGCUGCUCCAGUUUUCCGGGAGCAUCCCUGCCGGUGCAGUGCAGAACUGGGCUGGAUUUCUGUCUGCCUUCUCUGCUGGUGGCAGGCUCUGUCACUCCUGGUGAAAGGAGUUCAUUUGCAAAAAUUCUUUGUGCAAUGUGCAAUUAUAUUCAUGUUGCGAUGAAUUCAAUAGGUACCGAAAUGUCAGCUGGAUUCAAGAGCCGUGACCCUUAUAUGGGUAACAAGAAUGUCCAAAAUUACUGCAGCACUUGUGCAUGAGUUAAAAGCAAUUCUACGCCCUCCUGCUCUGAGGCACAAGUGAAGCCACAGCCCCUUCGGAUCAAGAGAAAAUGUUUCUGGAGAGGCUUUGCCCUGUCUCCUGCAGGUUUCCCUGCAUCUGCUGCUGAAGCAUUUAGCACUGGCUUUGGAAUGUGGGAAGAUGGAUGAUCUGUUUGGUGGGAGCAGAAGUGAGAAGGAGGCUUCUGGUGACUGAGUGUGAUCUCUUACCGUGUUUCCAGCCUCUCUCCACCUCAUUCUGCCCACCUCCCCUUCCUCACCCCCCCUUUUAAGCACAGCAGCUCCCUCCGUCUCACUCCAGAUGCUCUACUUACGCCUUAGCAAGAUGCCGAAGUACCACUGAACUGCAUUGCUUUGGUGCUUCAACUAGUCCCAUCUGAAGGUGACAGCUGUGGGAGAAGGAGUGAGAACGGAUUUUGUCUCCAUCGGAUGGAUAAGGACGACUUGGAACCAUGCCCUGCGCAUCUUAAACGAAUGCCAUUUGACUUCCAUGUUGGGAACAUCCAACCUUCUCUUUCUCCAUCCUGCUGGAAGAGCUGUCACAGACAUCUCAGAAACGUAAGAGACUCAUCCCAGGCCUUCCCCUUGCCCCCAUACAGCAGGUGGUCUACUUUUAACAGGAAACCAUUUCACUUGGAACUGUAAUGGGAAAAAAAUUAACCAGACAUAGGUGUGGUCUAAAUGCUGAAGUCAGGGUGGUGUAACAGAGGUGGGCUUUCUGAUUGCGCCGGUGUUCUUGUUUUCAGGCAGCUCAGUUAGAGCAGUGCUGCAUGUACAGACUCGGGCACCUGCUUACAACUUGGAGCUUCUCACAGCUUGUCUAAAGACAGAGGAAGAGGAGUAAAGCACUGGUUGUGCGCACAUACCUUCUUGUGGCCUCUGUGCAAUUCUCUGCAUGCUCUGCCAUUGGAUUAAUAACCUCCGUCGGUGAUCAGUAAGUGAAUUUUUGUCAAACCACGGUAUUGGUGAAAGGGAGAGCCCCCCCCCCCCCCCCCCCCCCCCCCCGCCCCGCCCAGCACAACUCGCAAUUGCUCAGCAAAAGGCACCGGUGGCAGUGCAUCUUACUCCUGCUGGGGUACAGAUCUGCCCUCCCUCUCCUUGCCUUCACAUUCUCUCCUCUUCUUUAAAGUCCCUCAAGCCACUGACCGAAAAGCACCGUCGUGCCCGGAGCCUGGAGCAGCUGAGAAGGCUCCUUCAGCAGAACCCUGAGCGGCAGACCACCAGAGCCUUGUCAUGCCUGGAGAAGGCUGAGAUCUUGGAAACAGCAACUGGGUAGACUGCACCCCCCGCCCCAGAGUGCAAGAGCAUCCAAGGCUCCCAGAUCUGUAAGCAGGAUGGCACCCAACAGGGUGCAGAGGCUGAAUCCAGAUAAAAGGAUUAGGGAUUAGAUCAAGAUGAGGAAUUCCAUGCCCAAAAAGGAAUGGAUCCUCACAUCUUAAAGGUUAAAGUUAAUCCCCACCACCACCAUGCCCCCAUCUCCCCGUUUUCUUUCUCAGACAUCGCCUUAAAGCAUGGCCAGGACUUCGCAGCUGGUUACCACCACCCUCUCGAUGCAGCACCUUUUUGAGCUCAGUUGGUUCUUCGCUGGAUCAAAACACCACUUCCCACAUCUCGCACCAGCUCAAGACUACCACUGAGAUGAGGGCUGCCAUUGCUCCGGUUCCUUCUUUCAAAGUUUGGCAACCCCAAGAGGACUCGUCUUCCACUAAACCCCUCCCAAGCCCUGCUUUUUUCUGUGUAGCUCCUCCUUCAGCCUUGCUCUCUUCAGGGCCUGCCCUGACUAGGACAUCUCCAGAAACUUGGUCCACUCCCAGGAGCAGCUGGCUUAUCCCCCUCCAACUUCACCGUCUCAACCGAGGUCCCUCCCUUCACUCUCCCAGAUGCUGGGGAGACCUCUCCAACUGAGGAGCCACUACCUGAAGACCAGGACCUCUACUGGGGUUUGCUAUGCGACAAAACAGGGCUGGGAAGCGGGGACAGAGCCUGCCAUCAGCUAAGGCUCUGCCCUGCGCUUCCUUGAGGGUGGAACACAUGCAAACUCUGCCCUAAGCUUUCCAGGGCUGGAUUCUGCAUCCCUUUUUUUCAGGGCAAGAUAGUCCUCAGCGAGGUGUCUGUCCCUCUGUUAGGGCCCAUACGUACAACACGGCAAGAUCCCGGCACACCACUUCCAGGUGUACGUCAUGCUUCAAUUUCCUGCCUUCUGUUCUGAACAAGCUGAUGAAAAGGUUUACGUAAGGGUGCGUGCUGGACCAGGAAACCGGCCCAAGAACCCAGGAGAUCUUCCCUGUCCUGUACUCCUAAUGCCUCUCAAGUUUCACCUAAUACUGAAGAAGUUAAGGUCAUUUGCAACAACAUUGGCCUCAGUUGCAGAGAAAUAAUAUGAAAAUAAUGGAAACGUUCCCUGGCUGUGCAGGAACCCCAGAGGCCCAAUUCAGGGCUGCAGAGAUGACCAAGCAGCAAGAAAGACCAACCAAUCUCCCUUGAGCGCACAGCAAAACUACAGCAAUUAAAGGGUAUUUUUGCAAA